UACGGGGGGGGCAAGCGUUGUUCGGAAUUACUGGGCGUAAAGGGCUCGUAGGCGGCCAACUAAGUCAGAUGUGAAAUCCCCAGGCUUAACCUGGGAACUGCAUCUGAUACUGGAUGGCUUGAAUCCGGGAGAGGGAUGUGGAAUUCCAGGUGUAGCGGUGAAAUGCGUAGAUAUCUGGAGGAACACCGGUGGCGAAGGCGGCAUCCUGGACCGACACUGACGCUGAGGCGCGAAAGCUAGGGUAGCAAACGGG
rnacentral:rRNA from 1 species